rnacentral:rRNA from 1 species
GACAGAGGGUGCAAACGUUGUUCGGAAUUACUGGGCGUAAGGCGUGUGUAGGCGGUCCACUAAGUCGGGUGUGAAAGCCCUGGGCUCAACCCAGGAAGUGCACUCGAAACUGGCGGGCUAGAGUAUCGGAGAGGUUGGUGGAAUUCUCGGUGUAGAGGUGAAAUUCGUAGAUAUCGAGAGGAACACCGGUGGCGAAGGCGGCCUUCUGGACAGUGACUGACGCUGAGACGCGAAAGCGUGGGGAGCAAACAGG